rnacentral:rRNA from 1 species
GAAACCGGGGGUAAUACCGCAUGAGCCUUGGACGGCACGAGCCGAUCAAGGGAAAGGCGGGGAUCCUUCGGGACCUGUCGCUUCUGGAUGAGCCCGCGUCCGAUUAGCUAGUUGGCGGGGUAAUGGCCCACCAAGGCAUCGAUCGGUAGCCGGCCUGAAAGUGUGUUCGGCCACAUUGGGACUGAGACACGGCCCAGACUCCUACGGGAGGCAGCAGUGGGGAAUUUUGGGCAAUGGGCGCAAGCCUGACCCAGCGACGCCGCGUGGGGGAUGAAGGCCUUCGGGUUGUAAACCCCUGUCAGGUGGGAAGAAAGCCUUGGCGGAUAAUACCUNGUCAAGGCCUGACGGUACCACCAAAGGAAGCCCCGGCUAACUCCGUGCCAGCAGCCGCGGUAAUACGGAGGGGGCAAGCGUUAUUCGGAAUUACUGGGCGUAAAGCGCACGUAGGCGGCGAGGCAAGUCAAAGGUGAAAUCCCUCGGCUCAACCGAGGAACUGCCUUUGAAACUGCGUCGCUUGGGUCCGGGA